rnacentral:rRNA from 1 species
AUUGAACGCUGGCGGCGGGCCUAACACAUGCAAGUCGAGCGGCAGCGGGAAAGUAGCUUGCUACUUUUGCCGGCGAGCGGCGGACGGGUGAGUAAUGCCUGGGAAAUUGCCCAGUCGAGGGGGAUAACAGUUGGAAACGACUGCUAAUACCGCAUACGCCCUACGGGGGAAAGCAGGGGACCUUCGGGCCUUGCGCGAUUGGAUAUGCCCAGGUGGGAUUAGCUAGUUGGUGAGGUAAUGGCUCACCAAGGCGACGAUCCCUAGCUGGUCUGAGAGGAUGAUCAGCCACACUGGAACUGAGACACGGUCCAGACUCCUACGGGAGGCAGCAGUGGGGAAUAUUGCACAAUGGGGGAAACCCUGAUGCAGCCAUGCCGCGUGUGUGAGGAAGGCCUUCGGGUUGUAAAGCACUUUCAGCGAGGAGGAAAGGUUGAUGCCUAAUACGUAUCAACUGUGACGUUACUCGCAGAAGAAGCACCGGCUAACUCCGUGCCAGCCGCCGCCGUAAUAC